rnacentral:rRNA from 1 species
GUGUUGUUGGGUAGGGGAGCGUUCUGUAAGCCUGUGAAGGUGUGUCGUGAGGCAUGCUGGAGGUAUCAGAAGUGCGAAUGCUGACAUAAGUAACGAUAAAGCGGGUGAAAAGCCCGCUCGCCGGAAGACCAAGGGUUCCUGUCCAACGUUAAUCGGGGCAGGGUGAGUCGACCCCUAAGGCGAGGCCGAAAGGCGUAGUCGAUGGGAAACGGGUUAAUAUUCCCGUACUUGGUGUUACUGCGAAGGGGGGACGGAGAAGGCUAUGUUGGCCGGGCGACGGUUGUCCCGGUUUAAGCGUGUAGGUGUGUGUUCCAGGUAAAUCCGGUUCACUUUAACACUGAGGCGUGACGACGAGGCACUACGGUGCUGAAGCAACAAAUGCCCUGCUUCCAGGAAAAGCCUCUAAGCAUCAGGUAACAUCAAAUCGUACCCCAAACCGACACAGGUGGUCAGGUAGAGAAUACCAAGGCGCUUGAGAGAACUCGGGUGAAGGAACUAGGCAAAAUGGUGCCGUAACUUCGGGAGAAGGCACGCUGACACGUAGGUGAAGUGAUUUACUCAUGGAGCUGAAGUCAGUCGAAGAUACCAGCUGGCUGCAACUGUUUAUUAAAAACACAGCACUGUGCAAACACGAAAGUGGACGUAUACGGUGUGACGCCUGCCCGGUGCCGGAAGGUUAAUUGAUGGGGUCAGCGCAAGCGAAGCUCCUGAUCGAAGCCCCGGUAAACGGCGGCCGUAACUAUAACGGUCCUAAGGUAGCGAAAUUCCUUGUCGGGUAAGUUCCGACCUGCACGAAUGGCGUAAUGAUGGCCAGGCUGUCUCCACCCGAGACUCAGUGAAAUUGAACUCGCUGUGAAGAUGCAGUGUACCCGCGGCAAGACGGAAAGACCCCGUGAACCUUUACUAUAGCUUGACACUGAACAUUGAGCCUUGAUGUGUAGGAUAGGUGGGAGGCUUUGAAGUGUGGACGCCAGUCUGCAUGGAGCCGACCUUGAAAUACCACCCUUUAAUGUUUGAUGUUCUAACGUGGACCCGUGAUCCGGGUUGCGGACAGUGUCUGGUGGGUAGUUUGACUGGGGCGGUCUCCUCCUAAAGAGUAACGGAGGAGCACGAAGGUUGGCUAAUCCUGGUCGGACAUCAGGAGGUUAGUGCAAUGGCAUAAGCCAGCUUGACUGCGAGCGUGACGGCGCGAGCAGGUGCGAAAGCAGGUCAUAGUGAUCCGGUGGUUCUGAAUGGAAGGGCCAUCGCUCAACGGAUAAAAGGUACUCCGGGGAUAACAGGCUGAUACCGCCCAAGAGUUCAUAUCGACGGCGGUGUUUGGCACCUCGAUGUCGGCUCAUCACAUCCUGGGGCUGAAGUAGGUCCCAAGGGUAUGGCUGUUCGCCAUUUAAAGUGGUACGCGAGCUGGGUUUAGAACGUCGUGAGACAGUUCGGUCCCUAUCUGCCGUGGGCGCUGGAGAACUGAGGGGGGCUGCUCCUAGUACGAGAGGACCGGAGUGGACGCAUCACUGGUGUUCGGGUUGUCAUGCCAAUGGCACUGCCCGGUAGCUAAAUGCGGAAGAGAUAAGUGCUGAAAGCAUCUAAGCACGAAACUUGCCCCGAGAUGAGUUCUCCCUGAGACUUAGAGUCUCCUGAAGGAACGUUGAAGACGACGACGUUGAUAGGCCGGGUGUGUAAGCGCAGCGAUGCGUUGAGCUAACCGGUACUAAUGAACCGUGAGGCUUAACCUUACAACGCCGAAG